UGGGGUCUUGGCUCAGUGGUAGAGCACUUGCCUAGCAUGUGCGAGGGCCUGAGUUUGAUCCUCAGCACCACAU
rnacentral:tRNA from 1 species